rnacentral:rRNA from 1 species
GAUGAACGCUAGCUACAGGCUUAACACAUGCAAGUCGAGGGACCGGCGCACGGGUGUGUAACACGUAUCCAACCUGCUCUUUACUCGGGGAUAGCCUUUCGAAAGAAAGAUUAAUACCCGAUAUAAAGGAUGGGGAUGCGUUCCAUUAGGUGGUUGGUGAGGUAUCGGCUCACCAAGCCUUCGAUGGAUAGGGGUUCUGAGAGGAAGGUCCCCCACAUUGGAAAUGAGACACGGUCCAGACUCGUACGGGAGGCAGAUGUGUGGAGUAUUGGGCAAUGGUCGCUAGCCUGAACCAGCCAAGUAGCGCGAAGGAGGAAGGCUUGUAGGUCGUAAGCUUCUUUUAUAUAAGAAGGUGUAUUAUAUGAAUAAGGAUCGGCUAACUCCCUGCCAGCCGCCGCGGCAAUAC